UACAGAGGGUGCAAGCGUUAAUCGGAAUUACUGGGCGUAAAGCGCGCGUAGGUGGUUCGUUAAGUUGGAUGUGGAAUCCCCGGGCUCAACCUGGGAACUGCAUUCAAAACUGUCGAGCUAGAGUAUGGUAGAGGGUGGUGGAAUUUCCUGUGUAGCGGUGAAAUGCGUAGAUAUAGGAAGGAACACCAGUGGCGAAGGCGACCACCUGGACUGAUACUGACACUGAGGUGCGAAAGCGUGGGGAGCAAACAGG
rnacentral:rRNA from 1 species